ACCACCACUACACUUUGCUUUCCACUCCACCAACUAUCUCCACCAUUACCACCAAUUAUGCAACGCCAAUCAAUGCCAAUCAGCCAACAAAUAUAGUCUUCACUCAUUUCCUUUGACACCAGAAACCAGAAAAUUUGAAGGAAAGAGAUAGAGUUUGUAAAACUGCUGCCAACUUCAAAGGAGGUAAGUCUUGGCUAAAUUUUCCCCAUUCCUCCUUUAUUCACCUGCAUUUAUUAAAGCAACAUCACCUUCAAAUUCAUUUCAGUUAUUUCACACUUCAUUCGAUUCAACAACAAGCAAUCAAUUUGAUCACAUUCAAGGUCAAGCACGAGAUUAAUAAUCAGUCAAGGAGCUACUGUACCACAGAAAGUUUCUAACAGGUUGAGCAGCUACCGAUGGUGAUGAAGUGACGAGCGGGACUCUUUUAUCUUAUUAUGUAUUAAUGAACUCUAGGGUUACAUGUCUUCAUACAUGUAAUCAGAACCCUAUUCCGCUGCGUACUCAGAAGUUUUAUGUUAUUUUGGAUAAGUCGGAGUUAUCCGAACUUAUUAGUUAUUUGAGUCUCUACGACUAAAACUCCGUUAUAUUAUAAAUAUCCAUGUUGUUAAAAA